ACAUGGGUUAAGAAUUGCGAUUCCAUUCAGGAUGGAAUGAAAAUGAAACCAUAGCUGGACCAAAAUGUCCCCUCUUGCUUUCCCCAAUUAUUUUCCCAAAUUGAAACCUGGGUUGAAAUCAACGAUAUGCAUAAGCACACCCGCUUCAGAUUGUUCACCCUGAUUAAAGACGUAAAAAACGAUUAUUUGUAGGUAUUUUAUCAAGGCUGGAUAUAAGGUUAUCUUUUUAUAUUGGAGGGGAACCUACCAGUCGUAUUGCAGGUCUCUUCUUGAGGAUCCUUUGCUGGAAUGCUUUGUGCUCGUUGAUGAUUUCAAUUUUCAAGGUUCAUCAAGCAGGACUGAGAGGUGAUAAGAUCGAUGUUGUUGUUAAGGUGCAACAUCCGGGAAUCCAGGAUCUUAUGAUGAACGACAUUCGUAACUUGCAAGCAUUUGCACUAUACAUUCAGAAGAAUGAUAUCAAAUUUUAUCUGUUUUCCGCUACCAAGGAAAUGGAAAAACAGGUAUCUGUAUUCACACUGAUGUUCCUUGCAAAACACAUCUAUCAUUCUUUUAUGUAUUUUUCAGAUUAUGUAAAUUGACAGUAUCGUUCCACUUGGAUUUGGAUUUCUUUUUUCUUCAGCAUGUCGUUAAUUAUUUA